UGUGCGUACAACGUACACGUCCCCUUCGUGCGCACAACAUGGGGUCAGGACCUGCGCGCACGUCCUGUCGCACGCAGGCGGGCCAUCCACGUAGCACUUCGCGCACAGACUGGUGCCACACAUUUGUGCGAGUGUUAUCCGCAUAACAGGCCUACCCAGACAGACCCUGUGCGCCUGGGGCCUGGGUGCACGAUGCCAAUACGCCUAAGCCCUGUGCGCGCACAAGCUAGCCCCCUGCGUGCACAGCAACAGGCCUAUGCGCCUACUAGCUAGCCUGCAGCACUCUGGUCGAGCACUGCCACCUCAAGCAAUACACCGUUGCUGCCUUGGGCGACGCGCCACCACCGUCACUGCUGAUAGAGGAAAUUUUCCUCCCUCAUUUUUUGUGCGAAGAAUAUUUUCUCCUCUCUCUUCACCAGAUUGUGCCACUUGGUGUAAAUUCAAUGAUUCUAAAAUUAUAUAAAUUGUGCUUCCCUUCCUCUCCACACUUCUAUUUCUU
rnacentral:lncRNA from 1 species